GUGUGUGGAGGGGUUGUGAGUUAGGCUGUCAGAACAGUGCGGGCUAGAGGCGCACACGUUUCAUCUAGGCUUCGGGCGGGGCGCAGCAGGUGGGUGAGGCUGCGGUGGUGGCUGCUGCCCAGGGUGGGAGGCUCAGGGGAGGCGCUUGGCGACAGGAGCAGGAAGUGAUGAGGUGGGGAGCUCAGCCGAGGGCUGCACAAAGACCUUCCUGGCCUGCCCCAGACAGAGCUGAGGACCCCUGGCCGUGGGCUUGGGCCUCGGCUUCACAGGAUGGGGCUGCCAGUGUCCUGGGCCCCUCCUGCCCUCUGGGUUCUAGGGUGCUGCGCCCUGCUCCUCUCGCUGUGGGCGCUGUGCACAGCCUGCCGCAGGCCCGAGGACGCUGUAGCCCCCAGGAAGAGGGCGCGGAGGCAGCGGGCGAGGCUGCAGGGCAGUGCGACGGCGGCGGAAGCGGUGAGUGCCAGGCUGUCCCGGGGACCAGGGUGGGGUCCGCAGGGCACCGACCAGCCUUCCUCGCCCCCAGUCCCUACUGAGGCGGACCCACCUCUGCUCCCUCAGCAAGUCGGACACCAGACUGCACGAGCUGCACCGGGGCCCGCGCAGCAGCAGGGGUGAGCAGAGGGCGGGGCGGGGGCGGCCGGGCGGGGCUUACUGUGCAGCGCGUGCCAACCCCUGGGCCAGAC
rnacentral:lncRNA from 1 species